GAGGGAGGAAGGGUGGGAGGGAGGGAGGGGAGCAGAGUCUGGGGAGGAGAAGAUGUAUAUAGUAUUGGGGCUUGGGUUUUAUUUUUCAUUUGGUUUUUGUUUGGUUUUGUUCUUUUUUUUGAAAGAAAAAAAAGAUGUUUGAUUUCUAAUGUCUUGAUGUAAACCAAAUAAAAAUGGUUCUGUACAUUCAGAAGUAAAGAACAGCUGAAAGGUGACAAGUGUAAUAAAGAAGCACUGUCCUCCAGGCUGAUAUUAUAAACGCAUUUCCCCAGACUUUUCCCACAGGGGUUGGAGGGCAAACCUGUGCCUGUGCCUGUGCCUGUGCCUGUGCCUGUGCCUGUGCCUGUGCCUGUGCCUGCUCGGAGGCGCAGCCUGCCGGGGUGGUGACCUCAGGGCUGGCUCCCUGAUCCACCCCCAAGGGCCAUAAAGAAGAGGUGGGCAGUAGAGGUGGAAGUGAUGGUAUGUAAGUAACUUUUCAGUGUUUGAUCCCACCAUCCCUGAGGCCAAUGGGAGGAGGCUGUGUAUUAGAUGCUAAUCUCUUGCGCACAUGGUCUCUUCCUGGAGAGCCAACCUGCACUAUGCCUUAUUGUAUUUUGGGAUGUAGUGAAGGCGGUGAAGAUGAUAUCAGGUAUCACUUGCAUAAAUGAAGUAAUGCAGCUGGAGUAAAGGCAGUAUGAGCCUGAACUUUCUUUGAGAAGCUUUUGUUGCUGCUGCUGCUUUCCACCCUGUGAUUUAGCCUAGGGUGACAAGUGCUAGGAAAUGCCCAGCUGCUCAGAAGAAGUACAAAGCAAGCCCUCCAUGUGAAAAGAUUUAUCUUAAGACGCUUUGCAAUUCAAUAGAACCUUGCCUGUGGGUUUCUGGCUGUUUGUGAAGGAUGGGUUUGGAAGAGAGUGCAAAGCGGGGACCUUGUGUUAAGCUUAGUUAUCUUUUUUAGUGGCUAUUGGCCUUGCAGAGACAAAUUCUUCGUCAGAAGUACAAAUGAGUGGGCUCAAGUGUAGGGCACUGAUUGAAUUUGGACUGAGGGACACCUGGUUUCCAUGCAACUUCCAGUUAGCAGAAAUGAGUAAUGGGGAAUGCCAAGGAUGAUGAUGGUAGUGGGUCUGAGACAUAUGGGUAACCCUCUAUGUUACAAUCCAUCUUUGCCUGGACUGGGAGGAGCAUCAAGGGUAAAAAGAAAUAUGAGAAAUUGCCUGUCUUAUGUUGCCUAUCUUAUGUUUAGUGCUGUGGAAAAUCAGAGGACAGUGUUGCCUUCGUGGGGCAGAAGUGUGGCUUCUUUCUACAGCUGGGCUAAUGAAUGUUGUGUUACUACAGCAAGGCUAAAAGAAAAAAACUUUAUGUGGAAGGCAGACCAGAGGGAAGUCUGAAUCCUCUUAGGAAAGGCCAUUCUUCAGCAGUAAGUCUUCUCUCCCCUGCAGCUGCCACUCCAGCUAGAGUGCAUCAGGAUGGUGCAGCCACACAGGCCCUGACUUAGCCAUUUCUGCUGAUGAGCAGAUGGUGGGUAAGCAAGGACGGGUGUUUUGCAGAGACAAAACAAGGAGGAGUUUUGUGAGCAUGAGCUCCUGCACCCCAUUGUGCUCUAGACUAGAAAACCCUGGAACAAAAUGCGGUCUCUUGCUCCCAGAAGCUUAUGCUGUCAUCACCCUCCCUAGAGACAAUGGACCCAAACCUUCUGUUCUCAGCUCCAUGCUGUGGGCAGCCUGCUCCCAUCUAAGACAGCCAGAACUUGCCAGUGCCACAGGCACAAAGCACUUACAGAGUAGUAUUGAAUAUGUGUAUGGCAAAGUGGGGAGAUGAGAGGUGGUAGACCCACUUAUGAUACAGGGAUGCACAUAUUAUCAUUUGCACAGGCUGAGCUUGGCAUUUAUACUGGCAGACAUUUCCCCCAGAAAGGAUGAGAUAGCACAAUGGGGAUGGUGCAUUUGGUUCACCUCUUCUUUCUCAUCACCAUCCCCUGGCUGUGCCCAGGGCCAUGGAGCCUGUGCUGCUGCAGCACCAAGCCCUGCCAAGGCAAUGGCCUUUCCCAGCGAGACCAGAGGGUCUCAGUGGUGAGAGCAGGAGGCGAGCAGGUAACCCCUCACUGCAACAGUGGCUGUUGUGCAAUAUCAUGACAUGUCAGGUGGGAGGCCAAAGAGGAGGUGCACCUUAUGAGAGAGCUGGCACUGGCAUAGCUGGUGAUGCUUAACCUUGUUUCUCCAGAGACAGUGACCCACAGGACCUGAAGUUCUGGGGACCGCUGUGCUACCUGCCUCAGGGACAUCUGGGGACCCAUCAGGGGUGUUUUGAGCAGGAAUAUAUCUUUUGCUAGUGCAGCUUCCAGGCUGUUGUUAGAGAUCUCGCCAGCCUCACGCCCCAUGAAUUUGGAGGCAGAAAGGACAUGUGUCCCAGAGCCUCUCACAGGCAGAGACUGGGCAGAAAUCCUUGAGUUUCAGCCCCUGCCAAGGCUAGGUUUUGAUGAAGGAAGAGGUUAGCAAGGGAGGUGAGGUUGCCCCAACCUUUCUCUCUCCCAUUCCAAUUGCACUGAAGCAAGAAGGGGAUGGGCAAAGCAGAGAAACGUGGUGGGAUUAAACCUACACAGUACCCCAGUCCAGCAAAGCCCCAGCCCUUGCUCAAGUCUGAGCACAGGGGCAGACCUGAUGACUGCGCGUCUGCUUAAAAUCAUGCCUGGAUCUGACAGCUUCACUGGGUCAGGGCCAAUGUGCUUGGCAGGCCAAAAGGGAAGAUUCUUAGUGAGCAACCCCCUAGAAAGGCUCAGCAGUUGUCACAGAGAAGAGUUUCUAAGAUCUGGAAAGAUAAAUAGCUAGGUGCUGGAGAAGAAAAUUGGAAAACUGAGAAUAAAGGAAAGCCUCAACAGUAACCCAGAAACAUCCCAUCCGUUGGCAUGUACAUGUGACUCUGAUGGCAGGACCGUUGUCCAGUCUGCGGUAUUUUUUCUUUCCAUUGCCUGACAUGUCAUAAUAUUGUCUUUGUGUGAAAUCACAUCCCCUUUCAGAAGAGAAACCAGUUUCUGAAGGACAAAUGCCCUCUCACAAUGUGCUCACUAUGGGGAUGUUACGCCAAGAGGUAUGAAAGCAAACAAGAUUAGACCUCUAAGGCUGGGGCAUCCUUCCCAGGAAAAUCUAGAACAGUUAUGCCAAUGUCUCAUCCUCUCAAACUGCACCCAUCCAUCUUCCUCUCAAAGACGAAGAAGCGGCAACAACUUCUCUAACUGGGGACAUCUUAAGUGGCCUGAAAUUCAGACAAACAACUAACUGAACAACAACGACAACAGGACAGGGAGAUCAAUGUCAACGUCAAUGUAUACUAUCAAAGGGACUGCUGUGAACCAUCUUUACAUACUCUGAGUGGCUGCGUUGCAUCCUGUACAGUGUUACAAAAAAAAGAAACAAAAAACAACAAUAACAAAAAAAAAACAGAACAAAACACCCAUUUUUACGAUCUUUAAUUUGCAUUUUCUGCAUGAAAUAAGACCUUGAUCCUUGUCUUUUUUCACAAAAGCAGAUUCUGCUUUAACUAAUGUAAAAAAAAAAAGAAAGAAAAAUAAUGUUUCUAGCAAAGUGAUUUAGAUGUAGAAAAUUUUGUAUAAAAAAAAGGGAAAAAAAAAAAAAGGGAAAACCAACAAAGAAAUAAAAUAAAAUGACUUAAAGAGCCAUCUUUGUCUACUCGAGAGGUGAGAAGGUGUGAUUGGUGGGUGGCACUUUCUGCUCUCAGAGCCAUCCUGUGUCAGCCAGAGAGGCACCGGAGCCCAUGCCCCAUGCUGCCGGAGGGCUCCCAGGAAGGGUGUGCUCACCAAUUACCGCCGGGUGCUUUCAAAAACUGUCUCCUUCAUCUUCUUUUAGGGAGAGUGGGCAGGAGCGCAGGGGGAAGGGUGGGAGGGGGCAAGGAGAGUUGCUUUGAUUUUAUUUUGCGGUUUUGUUUGGGGUAUUUUUGUUCCUGCAGUGACAGUUUUUGAAAGGUGAUGAUGAACAAAAGUAAAAACAAACAAACUUGAAAAUAGUUUACAAUUUUGUACAAACCAUUAUAAAUACUAACAACAAAUGUUUUUAAAAAUGGUCCAUACCAGUGCCAAAAUAAUGUAAUGUGUACAUGAAUUUCUUCUUUUUUUUUUUUUGAAAAAGGUGUUGAAACACAAAAAUAUUUCUUUUUUAACAAAUGCUGUAUGUGGACAUAAAUGUACUUGAACGCUGUUAAUUAUUAAUUGGUUAGGAAUCUUUCUUGGGCUUUUGGGUUUGCUUUUUUUUUCCUACCCAGAACAAAAGUAACACUUAUAAAAUACAGCCUUUAAGGAGAAACAGUCAA